CCUACGGGAGGCAGCAGUGAGGAAUAUUGGUCAAUGGACGAGAGUCUGAACCAGCCAAGUAGCGUGAAGGAUUACUGCCCUAUGGGUUGUAAACUUCUUUUAUCUGGGAAUAAAACGUUCCACGUGUGGGAUUUUGUAUGUACCAUAUGAAUAAGGAUCGGCUAACUCCGUGCCAGCAGCCGCGGUAAUACGGAGGAUCCGAGCGUUAUCCGGAUUUAUUGGGUUUAAAGGGAGCGUAGGUGGAUUGUUAAGUCAGUUGUGAAAGUUUGCGGCUCAACCGUAAAAUUGCAGUUGAAACUGGCAGUCUUGAGUACAGUAGAGGUGGGCGGAAUUCGUGGUGUAGCGGUGAAAUGCUUAGAUAUCACGAAGAACUCCGAUUGCGAAGGCAGUUCACUGGACUGCAACUGACACUGAGGCUCGAAAGUGUGGGUAUCAAACAGGAUUAGAUACCCCUGUAGUC
rnacentral:rRNA from 1 species